AGUAUAUUUUUUAUUAGUCAUAGCAUACUCAAAAUGUCACUUGUCAGAAUUAAAUUAAGUGAAAAGUAGUUGUUAAUUGCAUACAUGUUUUUACAUUACGACCAUUUUCACAAUAAUCUUCGUUCAUUUCGCUUGCUUUGAAUGCGUAUACAAUGUUGGGUGAAUCGCAACCUAUGUAAUAUUAUAAUAAUCGGGAUAAUUUUGUGCAUAUAGGCAUAUCGUGAUACAAAGCGCGUUUCGUGUAGUAAAUUCACGAUGUUCAUCCGCGAUUUUCGCAUAAGUGAAGUGUACAAAUCAGUUUUUGUCUAGUAAUGAAGAUAACUAAAAAUGUGCAGCUAAUUUUGAUGAAGUUGAUGCGAAACAGUUCAAAGCAGAAAAUACAACAGAUGGAGUAUUGCGAUAUUCUAGCUGGUGCAAUAUACAUUUAACUAGGAUACAACGGCCGGUGAGU